UCUGGAAGCUUCUUUCACCAUCUUCAAACACCAAAAAAAACACAGAUUGAAUCUAAAAAGGAACUCAUAUCAUCUCUUUCACCAUCGCUGAAUCUAAAGAUUCUUGUUGACAGAUCUAUUCAUUUUCAGGUUUCAGAUCUAGAUAUCACAGGUUCGUCAUUCAAUCAAAGAAAUUGUUACUUAAAUGGAAGGUAAAUGACUCAUAUGCAGCCUCUCCGCUAAGAACGUUGUACCAACACUCAGACAACAUACACAACAACAAGCAAUCAACGAUCAACAAACUGAUGCGGAUGAUGAACUGAAGAAGAUAACAAAGCUAGAGUUUAGAAGGUCUUGUGCUCACCUAGGCUACUUAAUACGCAUCGAACUAGAGGAAGAAGACAUUGAUCCACUAUACAAGCAAGUUUGGAGAAACAUUGUGGAGGAUACACGCAACAACACUGGUAAGAAACGCCCAAAAGUAGAGAAAGGAGAGCCCUCAAACCGCAAGACUCUUUGAAUAAUAAUGGCAUGGUAACCACUCUUAGAGCGAUUUCAUGUUUUUGUUAGUUCAUUUGAUGUUUACAUUUUGUUAAGUUAACUUUAUGUAAUAUGAUUGUUUUUAUGAGUCAUUGUCUUUCAUAAA